rnacentral:rRNA from 1 species
UACGGAGGGUGCAAGCGUUAUCCGGAUUCACUGGGUUUAAAGGGUGCGUAGGCGGGUAUGUAAGUCAGUGGUGAAAUCCCCGAGCUUAACUCGGGAACUGCCAUUGAUACUAUAUAUCUUGAAUAUUCUGGAGGUAUGCGGAAUAUGUCAUGUAGCGGUGAAAUGCUUAGAGAUGACAUAGAACACCUAUUGCGAAGGCAGCAUACUACGGAAAGAUUGACGCUGAGGCACGAAAGUGUGGGGAGCAAACAGG